AAUGUUUGAUGCUGUUGACUUUUUUACACAUGUUUGACCGUUCGUCUUAUUAAAAAAAUAUAUGAAAUUAUUAAUUCUUUUCCUAUCAUUUGAUUCAUUAUUAAAUAAACUUUUAUGCACACGUAUACUUUUAUAUGUUUUAUAAAAGGUUUUGAAUAAGACGAACGGUCAAACGUGUGUUAAAAAGUCAACGACGACAAAUAUU
rnacentral:pre_miRNA from 1 species